rnacentral:rRNA from 1 species
UACGUAGGGGGCAAGCGUUGUCCGGAUUCACUGGGCGUAAAGCGCACGUAGGCGGAUUGCUAAGUCAGGGGUGAAAUCCUGGAGCUCAACUCCAGAACUGCCUUUGAUACUGGCGACCUUGAGUCCGGGAGAGGUGAGUGGAACUGCGAGUGUAGAGGUGAAAUUCGUAGAUAUUCGCAAGAACACCAGUGGCGAAGGCGGCUCACUGGCCCGGUACUGACGCUGAGGUGCGAAAGCGUGGGGAGCAAACAGG